CCUACGGGCGGCAGCAGUGGGGAAUAUUGGACAAUGGGCGAAAGCCUGAUCCAGCAAUGCCGCGUGAGUGAUGAAGGCCUUAGGGUUGUAAAGCUCUUUUACCAGGGAUGAUAAUGACAGUACCUGGAGAAUAAGCUCCGGCUAACUCCGUGCCAGCAGCCGCGGUAAUACGGAGGGAGCUAGCGUUGUUCGGAAUUACUGGGCGUAAAGCGCACGUAGGCGGCUUUUUAAGUCAGAGGUGAAAUCCCGGGGCUCAACCCCGGAACUGCCUUUGAAACUGGGAAGCUAGAAUCUUGGAGAGGCGAGUGGAAUUCCGAGUGUAGAGGUGAAAUUCGUAGAUAUUCGGAAGAACACCAGUGGCGAAGGCGACUCGCUGGACAAGUAUUGACGCUGAGGUGCGAAAGCGUGGGGAGCAAACAGGAUUAGAUACCCUAGUAGUC
rnacentral:rRNA from 1 species